rnacentral:rRNA from 1 species
UACGAAGGUGGCAAGCGUUGUUCGGAUUUACUGGGCGUACAGGGAGCGUAGGCGGUUGGAUAAGCCCUCCGUGAAAUCUCCAGGCUUAACCUGGAAAGUGCAGAGGGGACUGUUCAGCUAGAGGAUGGGAGAGGAGCGCGGAAUUCCCGGUGUAGCGGUGAAAUGCGUAGAGAUCGGGGAGGAAGGCCGGUGGCGAAGGCGGCGCUCUGGAACAUUUCUGACGCUGAGGCUCGAAAAGCGUGGGGGAGCAAACAGG